AGUGAACGCUGGCGGUAGGCCUAACACAUGCAAGUCGAACGGCAGCACAGUAAGAGCUUGCUCUUACGGGUGGCGAGUGGCGGACGGGUGAGGAAUACAUCGGAAUCUACUUUUUCGUGGGGGAUAACGUAGGGAAACUUACGCUAAUACCGCAUACGACCUACGGGUGAAAGCAGGGGAUCUUCGGACCUUGCGCGAUUGAAUGAGCCGAUGUCGGAUUAGCUAGUUGGCGGGGUAAAGGCCCACCAAGGCGACGAUCCGUAGCUGGUCUGAGAGGAUGAUCAGCGACACUGGAGCUGGGACACGGUCCAGACUCCUACGGGAGGCAGCAGUGGGGAAUAUUGGACAAUGGGCGCAAGCCUGAUCCAGCCAUACCGCGUGGGUGAAGAAGGCCUUCGGGUUGUAAAGCCCUUUUGUUGGGAAAGAAAAGCAUCAGGUUAAUACCCCGCUGUUCUGACGGUACCCAAAGAAUAAGCACCGGCUAACUUCGUG
rnacentral:rRNA from 1 species